rnacentral:siRNA from 1 species
AGUGAUGAACGCUACGUCUGGACC